GUGGGGAAUAUUGCGCAAUGGGCGAAAGCCUGACGCAGCGACGCCGCGUGAGGGAUGAAGGUUUUCGGAUCGUAAACCUCUGUCAGAAGGGAAGAAACUACAUUGUGCUAAUCAGCAGUGUACUGACGGUACCUUCAAAGUAAGCACCGGCUAACUCCGUGCCAGCAGCCGCGGUAAUACGGAGGGUGCAAGCGUUAAUCGGAAUUACUGGGCGUAAAGCGCACGUAGGCUGUAGUGUAAGUCAGGGGUGAAAUCACACGGCUCAACCGUGGAACUGCCUUUGAUACUGCACAACUUGAAUCCGGGAGAGGGUGGCGGAAUUCCAGGUGUAGGAGUGAAAUCCGUAGAUAUCCGGAGGAACACCGGUGGCGAAGGCGGCCACCUGGACAGGUACUGACGCUGAGGCGCGAAAGCGUGGGGAGCAAACAGGAUUAGAAACCCUGGUAGUCC
rnacentral:rRNA from 1 species